rnacentral:rRNA from 1 species
GACGAACGCUGGCGGCGUGCCUAAUACAUGCAAGUAGAACGCUGAAGAGAGGAGCUUGCUCUUCUUGGAUGAGUUGCGAACGGGUGAGUAACGCGUAGGUAACCUGCCUUGUAGCGGGGGAUAACUAUUGGAAACGAUAGCUAAUACCGCAUAACAAUGGAUGACCCAUGUCAUUUAUUUGAAAGGGGCAAAUGCUCCACUACAAGAUGGACCUGCGUUGUAUUAGCUAGUAGGUGAGGUAACGGCUCACCUAGGCGACGAUACAUAGCCGACCUGAGAGGGUGAUCGGGCACACUGGGACUGAGACACGGCCCCGACUCCUACGGGAGGCAGCAGUAGGGAAUCUUCGGCAAUGGGGGCAACCCUAACCGAGCAACGCCGCGUGAGUGAAGAAGGUUUUCGGAUCGUAAAGCUCUGUUGUAAGUCAAGAACGAGUGUGAGAGUGGAAAGUUCACACUGUGACGGUAGCUUACCAGAAAGGGACGGCUAACUACGUG